AAAAAUCAUCUAAGAUAUAGGUUGGAUACUAGGAGAAAUUUAUUUAUUGAAAGGAUUGUGCAGCACUGGAAUAGACUGCCCAGGGAAGUAGUUGGGUCACCACCCCUGGAGGUCUUCAACACAU